rnacentral:misc_RNA from 1 species
UUUCAAGGGGUAUCACCAUCCCCCGCACCUCUUAUUGGUGGAAGUGCGAUUGGCUUUCUUAUUCGUCUAAGUAAGGUGCAUUGGCUUCCUGCUUGACCCGAAUCGAAGCAAGUCCUUUUUUUUCCUUCAAUCAGAGUCAGGGCAUCAGAUCGAGGGUAAGGGGUUGUUCCUUGUCUAGUCCCAUUGCUCUAUCUCUGAUAGCAUGUUUCCGAAAAUGGAAAGAGCCUUAUAGUUUUUGUUCCGUGAGGGUCUUUCUCAUUUAGAAAAUCAUCCAAAGCCGAUCUCUUCUUUCUCUUUCCUUCCUGUCUAACUGGCACCGAAGCCCCUUAAGGGGAGACUACUUUCAUUCUCUUUCUAAAUAGGAUUGCAAGCCUUCCAUUCGGUACGUUAGCCUUCCAUUAGCUGGUCCAUUCGUCUUUAGGUCUAUUACCCUCAGUUGGUAAGUUGGUUCGGAGAACGAGGGUAAGAGGUCACCAUCCACGAGCCUUUCUUCAAGUCUUCCACCCGUCUUAUUGUUAGUGGAACUCUUUGCUCCUACCAUUCG